UACGUAGGGUGCGAGCGUUAAUCGGAAUUACUGGGCGUAAAGCGUGCGCAGGCGGUUCGUUAUGUCCGAUGUGAAAGCCCCGAGCUCAACUUGGGAAUGGCAUUGGAAACUGGCGGGCCGGAGUGUGGCAGAGGGGGGUGGAAUUCCACGUGUAGCAGUGAAAUGCGUAGAGAUGUGGAGGAACACCGAUGGCGAAGGCAGCCCCCUGGGCCAACACUGACGCUCAGGCACGAAAGCGUGGGGAGCAAACAGG
rnacentral:rRNA from 1 species